GAUAAACGCUGGCGGCGUGCAUGAGACAUGCAAGUCGAACGGACGAUCAGGGCUUGCUCUGAUCGUUAGUGGCGGACGGCUGAGUAACGCGUAGGUGACCUGCCCCGAAGUGGGGAAUAACUGCCCGAAAGGGUGGCUAAUACCGCAUGUGGUGGUGCCUUCAUAGGCACCAGUAAAGCCGCAAGGCGCUUCGGGAGGGGCCUGCGUCCGAUUAGCUCGUUGGUGGGGAACGGCUCACCAAGGCGACGAUCGGUAGGUGGUCUGAGAGGACGAUCACCCAGACUGGGACUGAGACACGGCCCAGACUCCUACGGGAGGCAGCAGUCGGGAAUUUUGCGCAAUGGACGAAAGUCUGACGCAGC
rnacentral:rRNA from 1 species